GCGGGGGUACCCAAGCGGCCAAAGGGGACGGACUGAAGAUCCGUUAGCUCAGUGCUUUCGAGGGUUCGAAUCCCUUCCCCCGCA
rnacentral:tRNA from 1 species